AUGUGCAAGAAAGCUUUGUUAACCUCUCACCCUGAGGAAAUCACCACUGGUUUUCAGGGAGAUGCACUACACAGAAAACCCUCUGUGGAUUACAUGUCACAAGUGCUUUGGAAACCUCUGUCACAGCUGUGGGGGGUUCUAGAACAGGGACAGUGACAAAAAACUACCUUUGUUUGAUGCCUAAGUCAUAAAUAUUGUUAGUCUACUGCAAUAGACUAACAAUAUUUAAUAUUUAAUAACUAAUAGAUGCUGCAGGUCAUGACAGAGCCAGGAAGACCCAGAGCUUUGUGAAUGGGAUCACAGUGUCCAAGGAAAACCUCAUGGCCCAUCCAGACUGAGACUCCCUGUGUUAAUUCUGUGCAGUGUGGCUCAGAGCCUGCUACCUCUUCCAAUCAUUUGGAUCCACACUUCACACCUGUUCUGAGCUUAACUGGACAAUGCAGAGAUUUUGCCUUAGUGCCAUGGACAUAUUUCAGAAUUUUUUCUGUUCAGUAUCCGAGAAGAGAGUGAGCACUGGCACAGCUACAUUUACACCCUGGAGGCUGGAGCAGGGAGAGAUCAGGUGGGGAGACAAAACACUCUAUUCCUUCAGAGCAAUCCCAGCAAAGUCCAAGCAGAAAGGGAUUAAGAGGAGUUGUCCAACAACACAACAUUUGUCAAGCCAAGUCCUAGGAUGUUUCUGCACAAAUCCUAAGGUAUCAUCUCUCCACAGCCUUUUCUUAACUCAGAGAUGCUAUUCAAAACAGCCUUGAUGAGUGCACAGCUGGGUUUGCCACCUUUUAUUCAAACAGGGGAAGCAUGGACCAGUAAUGUGUUCCAGAGACUGGAAAUCAGGAUGUUUUGAUUUGAGAUAAAGUACAAAACAUGUGUGA